CUGCAGCCAGUUACAAAGCCAGACUCCUCCGCUCAUGGGGCCUGGUGCGCAGUGGCUGCAGGCAGCAGCCCCUUGCUGGUGCACAUAGCCUGCUGUUUCAUGAGCUGUCCCUAGGGACCUGAGAGAGCUUU
ensembl:snoRNA SNORA70 Small nucleolar RNA SNORA70